CUUAGAGUACCCAAAAUGUUUUGUGAUUUAGCUCCUGCCUACUUCUGAUUCAUUUCUGCCACCUGCUUUGCCCUUUUUCUCCCCUGGCCUCAUAGAACUUUCUGCAGUUCUCUAAAUGCACCAUUUAUCACUGCACUGUUCCAGAAUUCACACGUGUUGUGCUCUCCCCAGUUCCUUCUACUCCCCUGAACUCUCAGCCCAGUAUCCUGUGAACUUUCCCAGACUGAGGGUAGGGGCUCAUGGAGGACUGACUGGUCACUUCCAGGAGGGCUGUCUGAGACAGGCAAGGAAGGCCACGAUAGGUUGAAACUGGAGAAAGGCCAUUGUGGGUGUUUGCAGUUUGGAGGUGGAGUCGAGGGGAAUCUGUUUUACUUGGAGGGAACUUGAUCUGAGAAAAUUGAGUGGACCAAUUAUAACAACUAAUAUUAUUUGAUGAGUGCUCUCCACUCUACCAAGUACUCUCCCAUCAGUUCAGACAGUUCCUUGAUCGCUUACUGCUUGUACAGGGCUAAGGGCCAGGGCCCUGACCUUCAUUCACAUCUACUCUGAGAGGCAGGUACUUUGAUCCCUGACUCACUGUUGAUGGAACUGAAGCCUGGAGGCUAGAGGACAGGGGAAAGUAGGUCGGGUGUAGGUCAGAGAAAGCUGGAGGGAGGCAAGUACCUUGAAGUCAGGUUUCUGGUGCUGUCAAGGGGUGACCAGUAGGAACCCUGAAGUGGAGAGAGUCCCAAACCUCCCCUGCUCAGGCUGCCAGUAAUGUCACAAUGUCUGGGGCGGGGUCUGUGGGAUCUCUCUCUGCCUCCACCCGAUGGACCCUGGGGUGAGGGCCGCUCCACUGGGCAGUGUCUCAGAAGCUUGUCUUCCACUCCUGGGACAGCCCCCUGCUCCACCCUCCCAAAAGAGGCCCAUGGGUCUCUGGAAGCAGUGGAAGAAUAGCUGAAGCACAGUUCAUCUCAUCACGGGAACAAACCAGGCCUCAGACACAGUCGCAGAGCAGCUGCCGGCAGAGCUGUCCAGGAAGAGGGGCCCCCCCAUUGGGGCCCACUCUGCUUUCCCCUUGCGGAUCACACCAAGGGCCUUGGGAGGUCAUCACACCACGCAGAACUUCGGCUUGCUCCUUUGUAAACUGAGGUCAUCCCACCUGCCCUGCCUACCUUGGAAUGGUGUUCUGUCCUAGGAAUAAAGACCCCAUGCCUUUCCACACACUAGUCUAGCUAAUGCAACCACGAGGGCUGCUCCUAGGACCACUAGACUCUCAAGAUGUGUGGUUGGAAAUACUGAGAAUGGGAACAAAGGUUGAGUGUGUGGGCAGCCAAGGGCCCCUGGGUUCUAAAACCUACUGCUUGAUCCCUACUUCCCUGGAAGGUGGGGGAGGCCUUGCCUGGGGAGGUGCCUCCUCCUUCUGCCCUCCUAACAGAAGCCUGAUGGGCAGUCUCCCUACUCUCCAGACCCAAAACCCAGAGAAUACCAGGAAAUUUGCCUGGAGGUUUCAGACCCAAGCUUUUCUCUCAUUCUUUCCCUUUAUCUGAUUCUCCAUCACAGUCAGAUGGUGGUAUCUGGAGGCAAGAGGCGAGCUUCCACCUGUCUUCUGGUUCCUAAUUGGGUCAUCUCUGCACCAGAUCUGCUCUCAUCUAACCACUUCUGGAAGGACUUGAGAAGACUGAGGCCUGACCAGAUCAAGUAGCUCAACCACAUCUGGGCCAUUGGCUGUCCCUACCAAGAACAGCGUGACCCAGGGAAUUCCCUGGCAGUCCAGUGGUUAGGACUCUGCUUCCACAGCCAGCGGCACAGGUUCCAUCACCGGUGGAGGAACUAAGACCCGUGCAUCCUCCGACUGUCAAAAAAAAGAAUAGGGGGAGGCACACCGCCCUGAGGACCUAGGAGGAUCUCAACCUAGUUCAGCUGCCACAA